UACGUAGGGUGCGAGCGUUGUCCGGAAUUAUUGGGCGUAAAGAGCUCGUAGGCGGUGUGUCACGUCGGCCGUGAAAACCUGCAGCUUAACUGUGGGCGUGCGGUCGAUACGGGCAUCACUGGAGUUCGGCAGGGGAGACUGGAAUUCCUGGUGUAGCGGUGAAAUGCAUAGAUAUCAGGAGGAACACCAGCGGCGAAGGCGGCACUCUGGGCUGGAACUGACGCUGAGGAGCGAAAGCGUGGGGAGCGAACAGG
rnacentral:rRNA from 1 species